GACGAACGCUGGCGGCGUGCCUAACACAUGCAAGUCGAACGGAACUGUUUUGAAAGAUUUCUUCGGAAUGAAUUUGAUUUAGUUUAGUGGCGGACGGGUGAGUAACGCGUGAGUAACCUGCCUUCAAGAGGGGAAUAACAUUCUGAAAAGAAUGCUAAUACCGCAUGACAUAUCGGAACCACAUGGUUUUGAUAUCAAAGAUUUUAUCGCUUGAAGAUGGACUCGCGUCCGAUUAGUUAGUUGGUGAGGUAACGGCUCACCAAGACCGCGAUCGGUAGCCGGACUGAGAGGUUGAACGGCCACAUUGGGACUGAGACACGGCCCAGACUCCUACGGGAGGCAGCAGUGGGGGAUAUUGCGCAAGGGGGGCAACCCUGACGCAGCAACGCCGCGUGAAGGAUGAAGGUUUUCGGAUUGUAAACUUCUUUUAUUAAGGACGAAAAAUGACGGUACUUAAUGAAUAAGCUCCGGCUAACUACGUG
rnacentral:rRNA from 1 species